rnacentral:lncRNA from 1 species
AGAAAUAAUUAGCCCAGCUGGACGUUGAACACAGGAUCUUGGCUUUCUCAGGACCCUGCUCCAAGCACCUGAGCCAAUCUCAGCCCCUGCAAUGGCUGUAGGAUGGAACUAGCUGGCACCUAACAUGACAGCUGGCACUUCCUGGGAGUGGUGGCAAAGGCUGUUUGCAGAGGGGCUCAGGCAGCAACUCCCGGUUCUGAGCUCCCACACAGCUGCCAGGUGUGUCCUGGUCACCCCAAAUCCCCUCCCUUCCAGCCUGAGGACAUCAUCCAUCAGCAGCAUUAAAGCCAAGGGAAAAGAACUUGCAGAGACCACUGCUGAGGCUCUGAAAGGAGCUGAGCUUCCACAGGUAGAGAUGUUCCCUCUGGGCACAGGGGCUGCCUCAGCAAGGGCUUGGGAGCACAUCCAGCCACCACCUUCUCCUGCUUUAAAACAUCAACUGGAGCCUGAAUUCCAGGGGGGUGAAAUCAGCUGA